rnacentral:rRNA from 1 species
CAGCAGUCAAGAAUAUUAGUCAAUGCUCGCCAGAGUGAACUAGCUAACUGAAAUCAUAACAUCACUGAGUGGUAAUAUGAUAACGUAAGGGAAAAAAAAUGAUAUUACCUUACUAUUAGUGUUGUCCAAAUCUGGUGCCAGAAGACUCGGUAAUGCCAGAAACGCAAACGUUAGUCGUCCUAAACAGGCGUAAAGGGUAUGUAGGCAGCUUUGAAAGUUUCAUUUAUAAAAAGCUCUAAUCGUCCUCAUUAACUGAGGUCAUAGAAUAAAUAAACGAUUAAAAGCUAGGAUCAUAAAGAAGAUAAGCCAAAUAAUACUUAGAGUAGGAGUGAUAUCUGCAAAUACUAAGGGGAAUACUAACGGUGUAAACUUUUAUCUAUUAAUGAUUGACGCUGAGAAACGAAGGUGAGAACAGGAAAUAGGAUUAGAGACCCAGAUACCUCUCACUGUAAACGAUGAAUGGUGGUUGUUAGUAAUAACAAAACUAGCAGCGAUGUUAACACGCUAACCAUUCCGCCUUGCGAGUACGGUUGCAAAACUGAAACCAAAAAAAUUAGUCGGUCUCGAAGCAAACGAAGUGAAGCAUGUUAUUUAAUUC